rnacentral:lncRNA from 1 species
UUUUUUUUUUUUUUUUUUUUUUUUGAGAAAGUUAUAAGUUACCACAAGAGUAUAAGAACUAUUUUGUUUUUCCUUUAGCUAAGAUGUUGCCUUUGUUUUUGGUUUUUGUUGCUGCUGUUCUUGUUUAAUUUUCUAGCUAGUUACUUAAUCUUCAUGUAAAGCUUCACACAGGGUCUAGUAUGUAGAAGACAUUCAAUAAAUGUUGGCAUGAAUGAAUGAAGCAAGAAGCCAUUUUAGCAAAUAAAAUUUUUAAUUUGCAUGUUUUCAAAUUGCUUAACUGAAAAUUUACCAAACAUUACUGAGUAACUUUAGGUGACAGUGAGUGAUAGAAGUAAUCUUUUAAUCUAAUAUUUUCUAAAUGGUUCUUUCUAUUUAGAUUAUUAAAUAUUUUGAAAACUUCUUUGUCAUUCAUUGAUCAUUAAGCCUAUAGCCAGUAUCUUUUAACUUUCUAAGACCUACAUUAAUAAACAUUAAAUUUUACAUAAGACAUUUUUCUGAUUUAUGCUUUUAUGCUGAAAUUUUAAUCUAAACUGCAGGUACUUUUAUUUCAACCAUAGUGAUUUAAGUUUGUAUUAGAUUGAAGACAGUAUGUUUAUUUACAACUCUUUCUGUUAGACACACUUUGUUAUUUUUGCAUGUGCCUUUAUAGGAUUUAGUAAGGGCCACAGAUUUCCUAUCACUAGUGACACCCUUACAUUUGGGGAAAAUUAUCAAUGAAAACCUCUAAAAUUGGACCAUACUACCACAGUUUAUGUAUGCUAUAGAAUUUAUUUUGAGAUUGAUAACAUACUUUAGAGGUGGUAUGGAUCAACAAAUGGACCCACAGAUUUUUCUUAUAUGUUAAGUGAACAGAGACAUAGGAAACUCAUAGAAAAAGAAACUAAAUGAAGAAUUUGGUUCCCAUAUUGAUGUUAUAAUAGAUGAUCAUUAUACCUUGACCCUCUUUCUCUGGUUCUGAUUGAAGAUUGAGACUUUGGAAGAGAAAUAAUAUGAAAAAUGGUAACUGAUUAUCAGACGACGUUAUUCAGAAAAAGAUUUUAUUUUCUGGAGAGUGACCUAAGAUCUCUUGAAUAAUAGAUUUCUGUGCUUCAUCUCACAGGAAUUAAAAGAAUUUAUUCACCUGGUAACUUGAUCAUCAGAUCAAGAUUUUAUUCACAAAAUGUUGGAGAAGACAGAAAAAUAUCAGUAAAAUUCUAAAACUGGAUAUGAUGGAGGUUAUCACAUAAAAUAGAUGAUAUAAGGCAGUUGACAAGGUGCCCAUGAUUAUGUAGUAGUAAAUACUGGGAAGAAGGAUGUGUUCAAGGACGUUACUUGUGGCCUCAGUUACUUACAUUCUGAAGUUAAGAAUGUAGGGAAUAAACUAAGCAAAAUCUUGAGAGACUUUAAUAUAAGAAAAUAAGUGCAACUUAAUGUAGGUAGUCAUCAGGCCUUAUUGGAACAAAACUCAAAAAGAACCCAAAAAA